UACGUAGGGUGCGAGCGUUGUCCGGAUUUAUUGGGCGUAAAGAGCUCGUAGGCGGUUUGUCGCGUCGGCGGUGAAAUCUCCACGCUUAACGUGGAGCGUGCGGUCGAUACGGGCAGACUUGAGUUCGGUAGGGGAGAGUGGAAUUCCUGGUGUAGCGGUGAAAUGCGCAGAUAUCAGGAGGAACACCAGUGGCGAAGGCGGGUCUCUGGGCCGAUACUGACGCUGAGGAGCGAAAGCGUGGGGAGCGAACAAG
rnacentral:rRNA from 1 species